CCCUUAGAUGUUCUGGGCCGCACGCGUGCUACACUGAGUAAUUCAAUGGGUAAGGGAACGCUAGAGCAUUACCUAAUCUUGAAAUUUGCUCGUGAUGGGGAUCGACGGUUGCAAUUUUCCGUCGUGAACGAGGAAUACCUUGUAGGCGCAUGUCAUCAUCAUGCGCCGAAUACGUCCCUGCCCUUUGUACACACCGCCCGUCGCUCCUACCGAUUGAGUUAUCCGGUGAGGCUCUGGGACCUGGACGGAAAGAGCGUUUCGCUUGUUCUGUUUGGGAAACUUGGUCGAACCUUAUCAUUUAGAGGAAGGAGAAGUCGUAACA
rnacentral:rRNA from 1 species